UACGGAGGGUACAAGCGUUGUUCGGAAUUACUGGGCGUAAAGCGCACGUAGGCGGGCAUGUAAGUCGAUUGUGAAAGCCCCGAGCUCAAUUCGGGAAUUGCAGUCGAAACUACUUGUCUUGAAUACCUGAGAGGGUGACGGAAUUCCUGGUGUAGAAGUGAAAUUCGUAGAUAUCAGGAGGAACACCGGAGGCGAAGGCGGUUGCCUGGCAGUGUAUUGACGCUGAGGUGCGAAAGCGUGGGGAGCAAACAGG
rnacentral:rRNA from 1 species